rnacentral:lncRNA from 1 species
AUGAAUCUCAACAAUCUUAUUAUUAUCCCCUAACCCAAUAGAUGUAAUCAAUUCCAAUGAAUCUUCUAGUCCAUUUUCUUCAUAAACAUCCAAAAUCCUCUCAUCAUCUUGCAAUGUACCUAUCUUGCGUAAUUGUCCUUCAAUAUUCUAUAAUCUUUUUCUUUCUUUUCUUUUAAAAUCAUCAACUUUCUUAUACAUAAUAUUUCCAUUCUCCAAUAUACCAAUAAAACUCGCAUCAAAGGUACCUUAAUCUCGCAAAAGUACCUCCUCUUUUGUACCUCCAUAAUCUCGCUUUACAGUGGUACCUCCCCAAAAUCCUUAAAUCCUUCAACAAUCUUUGGCAAUGGUUUCUCCCUCAACCUAUCUCGAUUCCGUUCAUGGUUAGGAGGUACUGUUAGAAAUUGUACAGUUUUCCUCCCAUCUUCGCUCCGUACCCUUGCAUAAGUAGA